GACGAACGCUGGCGGCGUGCUUAACACAUGCAAGUCGAACGGAAAGGCCCUGCUUGCAGGGUACUCGAGUGGCGAACGGGUGAGUAACACGUGGGUGAUCUGCCCUGCACUUCGGGAUAAGCCUGGGAAACUGGGUCUAAUACCGGAUAGGAGACACUAUCAGUGUGAUGGAUGGAAAGUUUUUUCGGUGUAGGAUGAGCUCGCGGCCUAUCAGCUUGUUGGUGGGGUAAUGGCCUACCAGGGCGGCGACGGGUAGCCGGCCUGAGAGGGUGGACGGACACAUAGAGACUUAGAGACGGCCCAGACUCCGACUGGUGGCAGCAGUGGGGAAUAUUGCACCAUGGGCGCAAGCCUGAUGCAGCGGCGCCGCGUGUGGGAUGACGGCCUUCGGGUUGUAGACUCCUUUCGCUAGGGACGAAGCUUGUUGUGACGGUACCUAGAUAAGAAGCACCGGCUAACUACGUG
rnacentral:rRNA from 1 species